GGGGGAACGGUUAUCGGGAUUUCUGGGCGUAAGCGCGCGUAGGUGGCUAAUUAAGUCAAAUGUGAAAUCCCCGAGCUUAACUUGGGAAUUGCAUUCGAUACUGGUUAGCUAGAGUAUGGGAGAGGAUGGUAGAAUUCCAGGUGUAGCGGUGAAAUGCGUAGAGAUCUGGAGGAAUACCGAUGGCGAAGGCAGCCAUCUGGCCUAAUACUGACACUGAGGUGCGAAAGCAUGGGGAGCAAACAGGAUUAGAUACCCUGGUAGUCCAUGCCGUAAACGAUGUCUACUAGCCGUUGGGGCCCUUGAGGCUUUAGUGGCGCAGCUAACGCGAUAAGUAGACCGCCUGGGGAGUACGGUCGCAAGACUAAAACUCAAAUGAAUUGACGGGGGCCCGCACAAGCGGUGGAGCAUGUGGUUUAAUUCGAUGCAACGCGAAGAACCUUACCUGGCCUUGACAUACAGAGAACUUUCCAGAGAUGGAUUGGUGCCUUCGGGAACUCUGAUACAGGUGCUGCAUGGCUGUCGUCAGCUCGUGUCGUGAGAUGUUGGGUUAAGUCCCGCAACGAGCGCAACCCUUUUCCUUAUUUGCCAGCACUUCGGGUGGGAACUUUAAGGAUACUGCCAGUGACAAACUGGAGGAAGGCGGGGACGACGUCAAGUCAUCAUGGCCCUUACGGCCAGGGCUACACACGUGCUACAAUGGUCGGUACAAAGGGUUGCUACUGCGCGAGCAGAUGCUAAUCUCAAAAAGCCGAUCGUAGUCCGGAUCGCAGUCUGCAACUCGACUGCGUGAAGUCGGAAUCGCUAGUAAUCGCGGAUCAGAAUGCCGCGGUGAAUACGUUCCCGGGCCUUGUACACACCGCCCGUCACACCAUGGGAGUUUGUUGCACCAGAAGUAGGUAGUCUAACCUUAGGGAGGACGCUUACCACGGUGUGGCCGAUGACUGGGGUGAAUCGUACAGGGGAACCACUCAUAAAAGGAGGGGGGG
rnacentral:rRNA from 1 species